rnacentral:rRNA from 1 species
UGGGGGAUAUUGCACAAUGGGCGAAAGCCUGAUGCAGCGACGCUGCGUGGGGGAUGAAGGCCUUUGGGUUGUAAACUUCUUUUGCUCUGAACAAGGCAUGCCUUUGGGGUGUGUUGAGUGUAGGGGUUGAUUAGCGCCGGCUAACUACGUGCCAGCAGCCGCGGUAAUACGUAGGGCGCGAGAGUUGUCCGGAAUUAUUGGGCGUAAAGGGCUUGUAGGUGGCUGGUUGCGUCUGUCGUGAAAGCUCAGGGCUUAACUGUGGGUUUGCGGUGGGUACGGGCUGGCUUGAGUGGAGGAGGGGAGGCUGGAAUUCCUGGUGUAGCGGUGGAAUGCGCAGAUAUCAGGAGGAAUACCGGUGGCGAAGGCGGGUCUCUGGGCUGUUACUGGCGCUGAGGAGCGAAAGCGUGGGGAGCGGACAGG